UUAGAGUUUGAUCCUGGCUCAGGACGAACGCUGGCGGCAUGCCUAACACAUGCAAGUCGAACGGAGUUAUUAUUCAGAAGUUCUUCGGGAUGGAAGGAUAAGAACUUAGUGGCGGACGGGUGAGUAACGCGUGGGUAACCUGCCCUUUUGUGGGGAACAACUUCGAGAAAUCGGAGCUAAUACCGCAUAAUAAUAGAGGAUCGCAUGAUUCUUUAAGGAAAGAUGGCCUCUGAAGAUGCUAUCGCAAAAGGAUGGACCCGCGUCUGAUUAGCUAGUUGGAAGGGUAACGGCCUACCAAGGCAACGAUCAGUAGCCGGCCUGAGAGGGUGAACGGCCACAUUGGGACUGAGACACGGCCCAAACUCCUACGGGAGGCAGCAGUGGGGAAUCUUCCGCAAUGGGCGAAAGCCUGACGGAGCAAUGCCGCGUGAGUGAAGAAGGCCUUCGGGUCGUAAAACUCUGUCCUUAUCGAAGAGAGGUAGGUAUGUGAAUAAUGUACCUAUAGGACGGUAGAUAAGGAGGAAGCCCCGGCUAACUACGUGCCAGCAGCCGCGGUAAUACGUAGGGGGCGAGCGUUGUCCGGAAUCACUGGGCGUAAAGGGCGCGUAGGCGGUUUAAUCAGUCAAUGGUGAAAAUUGAGGGGUUCAACCCUCAGCCUGCCACUGAUACUGUUAGACUUGAGUAUGGAAGAGGAGAAUGGAAUUCCUAGUGCAGCGGUGAAAUGCGUAGAUAUUAGGAGGAACACCAGUGGCGAAGGCGAUUUUCUGGGCCAAGACUGACGCUGAGGCGCGAAAGCGUGGGGAUCAAACAGGAUUAGAUACCCUGGUAGUCCACGCCGUAAACGAUGGAUACUAGAUGUUAGUAGUUUCGAUGCUACUAGUGCCGGAGUAAACACAAUAAGUAUCCCGCCUGGGGAGUACGGUCGCAAGACUGAAACUCAAAGGAAUUGACGGGGGCCCGCACAAGCGGUGGAGCAUGUGGUUUAAUUCGACGCAACGCGAAGAACCUUACCAAGACUUGACAUCCUCCUGACAAGAUAUGUAAUGUAUCUCUUUUCUUCGGAGACAGGAGAGACAGGUGGUGCAUGGUUGUCGUCAGCUCGUGUCGUGAGAUGUUGGGUUAAGUCCCGCAACGAGCGCAACCCUUAUUUCUAGUUGCCAGCAGUAAGAUGGGGACUCUAGAGAGACUGCCAGUGACAAACUGGAGGAAGGUGGGGAUGACGUCAAAUCAUCAUGCCCCUUAUGGCCUGGGCUAUACACGUGCUACAAUGGCGUAAACAAAGGGAAGCGAAGGCGUGAGCGUAAGCAAAACCCAAAAAUAACGUCCCAGCUCGGAUUGUAGUCUGCAACCCGACUACAUGAAGCUGGAAUCGCUAGUAAUCGCGGAUCAGAAUGCCGCGGUGAAUACGUUCCCGGGUCUUGCACUCACCGCCCGUCA
rnacentral:rRNA from 1 species